CCAAAGACAGUAUCCAUUGGUUCCACUAGUUUCUAGAAUUUUAAUAAUACAUGUUUUUCCAGAAAAUCACCCAUUGUGUGAAAUCUGUAUUUUUUUUAUCAGCAUGUAAUCGUCUGACUUUAAUCUUCUUUACCUCUGCUACUGUAUUCCCUUUUUAAAUACUUAAUUUUGUUAAUUUUUGCUUUCCCAUUCUCUUUCUUGACGCUAAAACUCUACCUGUACUAUCAAUAAUGUUUACCCCCCAAAAUCGCCUCCUGGCUUACCAGUUCUGCCAUUUUUAGUCUUCUAAUUUUGUAUGCUUGCCUUCAUGUGGUUCAGCUCUUUCCUCCUUCUCUCCUGUGUUACUUUGUGCGCCUAUUACUUUUCCUCAAUUUGAAAACAAUUAAAAUAACUAAGUCUAGACAUUAUUCCCAAGCACAGCGUCAAGGCCUGCCGUGAACUCUGAGGCUGCUGUGGUUCCCUGAGCUGAGCAAGCCGCCUGCGGGCCCACGAGGAAGGCAUCAUAGCCAAGCCCUGGAAUGGGAGGCUUGUAGACUGUCACCAAGUCCCUCAAAUCUGUUCACUGAAUGGUCUCUGCUGCCCCCGCCUCUCUCUGGCAGUGAGGAAGAGAGUCCAUGUUAUAACACAAGUUCAAGGGCCUACAUCUGAGGCCUUCAGGCCCCCCGCGUUCUGCACUGAGAGCCUCCUGCUGUGCCUGGCCACCCAGCAUCAUUGAGCGGAGACCAGUGUAACCUUUGAACCCAGGCAGCUCAGGCUGCUGUGACAAAGCACUGCAGGCCAUGGUUUCCCAUCAAAAGCCUGUUCUCUCUCAGUUCUAAAGGGGCAGCCCAGGAUGUGUUGAGUUACAUCGACUGCACAGCCCAUGUCUCUUCCACUUGGCUGUUCAGCGUGAUCUCCCCUCUCCUCGACACGGCCAGCCCACACCGGCCUCCGUGGCCGCCCUCCCCAUGGCAGGCAGGGAUGGAGGCAGGCUGAGGCACCUGUCCUCUGAGGCCUGCGGAGGCUCUCUCUCCUGUGCUUCUCUGAGGAUGUCGCUCCGCCCUACUCAAGGAGUACUAGACCCCUCUGUCUGCUGAGGUCAGCAUCCCAGAACACGGCUCCAGCUGACGAUUGCACUUGGCACCCAUAUCCUCCGUGCGACAACCUGGUGUCAGCAGUCUCGG
rnacentral:lncRNA from 10 species